ensembl:lncRNA
GUAAUAAAAUUCUUCUGGGUGUUUCCCCCAGUCUCCCCAUCCAGAAACUGAAUUAUGUACCUGCAGUCAGAGCUGCCAUGCACCAGACUUGCAGUCAUGUGGCCAGUCUGCCCCAUCACAAGGCCAUGAGAGUUUUGUCACCUCUCCUGAACAGAUUUCUGGUGCUGCUUGUCCACUCUCUGUGACCAGGGAUUGCGUGUUGAAAAAUGCAGGACCACAUACAGCAAAAGUACAAACUAUGAACGGGCUUCAGAUCACCCCUCUGAGAUCAUAUUCAGACCAUCCUUCUGAGCCCCAGAGACAGAGGUGUGAAGGCUUUAGAGAUGUAGAGCAGUGCUGAAGCAUGAACAAAUGACAGACCAUGGCUGUUACAUUCACUACAUCAAAUCACACUUCUCCCACACAAAUCUCUUCUUUCUCCUUCCUUGGGAUUCUCAUACAUUCACACAGUUUCCUUUUUCACUCUGGCAUGAGCUGCUAGUCCAAGACAGAAAUGCACAUGGCAACAACCUUUAACUCUGCAAAAAGUCAAAGGGAAGGGUUAGGGAGAAAAAAAUAGGAAACAAUGUGUUUUCUCUCCUUACAUGCAUUACAGCUCUUAAGCUUCUUUGCUCUGUGAGUAUUAAAUCCAAUUGUUUUGGUCCUUUUCCUUACCAGCAGAAGAGAAAAUGAGACUUUGGAGCUUGCAGAAGACUGGAGACCCCAGAGCAAACAUGACACAGAUAUGAGUUCCCACCCGCUGCCGUGGUGACACAAGAGAGAGUGGAGUUUGCAGUCACUGUCAUUGAUCUCCAAACGUGCUCCAGCCCUGAAACAGUGAGGGCUGAAGGUGUCCUCCAGGUCAGCAAGGUUUGUCCAUGUGCUCACAGCUUACCACUGCUCUUUACUGCCCUGAGAAGGCAAACCAAACCACCUCUGCACCUGAGAUUGUGCCUGUGAUAAGCACCAGCAGGAAAGGCAGCUCUGCAACACCCACACAGCUUCUUUCCCAUCUCCUGGAAUGAGAGGAGAAAAGUUAUGCUUCCAAGAAGGUACAGAGAAACAACAAAAUAGACACUAGAGAAGAGGAAAUAAACCCCUUAAUGGAAAAAUAUUUUAUUCAGCCUACAGGAAAAAAUGCAGCGUCAUAGUGAUCAGGCCUUAAGAGAUUACAGAAAAGAAAUUAUUUAUGACAGGAAAUAAAUACUAAUUAAAAAUGGGUAGAAAAAGUGAUUUGUUAUGUGGGCAAUGCAAGAAGCAGAAUUUGGCCUUCUACUAACUCUCUAUGGAUCUUGACAAUAAGGGAGAGAGUGUCAUCUGUUCAGAAAAUGAACUGUUGGAUAAAUCAGAGGAAAGUUGGAAAAUUCAGAUAAAGUUGAAAAUUCUGAGAAAACCAAAUUAAUCAAAUGUGACAGCACAGGAAGAAACACUUUCAACGCAUAAGCUAAACAGAGUGUCAUGCAACGCCAGUUUCUUAAAACCUCAUUGUUUUAUCAGAAAAAGUUAUCUUCCUGUUCCAUGAGGAUGUUGCAAUUUCUAUGGCAAAUAUUCCUGAAUGCAAGAGAGGGGGAAAAAACCAAAGAUGCCUGUUAACUUCUGGACAAGUCAGGGUAGACAUGUUUUAUGUAACUCUUAGUUCCAGUUCUGACUUGAUGCUAACUUAGUAUGGUACCUCUUUUGGGUUUUGUUCAAAUGGUUCCUUAUACCAUAAAAGGGAACUCAUGAUUGGUUAUCAUCCUUUAGUAGCCUAAAGAGUGAAUACAACACAACUUGUGUUUCCUAUGGGACAGGGAAAAGAUAAAAUUUUGUUACUCCUGGUCCCAUGGAGAGUUACCACCAACAUCAAUUAUGUGUGUCUUUUUGUUAAAAAAUAGUACUUAAAAUAAAAUAGCUUGAUCAAAUACUAAAAUCACCAUUACUGAGAAGGAUAUUUUCAGUGAUCUUUCUUUUGUUUGUGCUCAGUACAUUACUAGCCAAUAUAACAGCAUUACCUAAAAUCAGAAGAAGCAUGUUAAAAGGAUGCCUGACAGCAGAAAAAAACCCCAUCCAACCAUAAAGACUUGUGGAGGACAAAGAUGAGCAGAGAACAUAACUAUGGAUACCUGGCACACUCCCAAAGCAGGGCACCAUUAGUGUAAGUGGAAGGCAUCGCCAGUUCUGCACUGAUGUUAGAUGAGCUGACAUCCUAAUAAAAAUAAAGAGCCACCAGGCAUGGGAAAGAAAAAGAUGAUGACAAUAAACAACAAAUGGCAACUUAAAAAAGGUUCCAGAUGGCAGAUGAUUUUUUUUUUACUUUAAUCAAAUCCCAGCAUGAUCGACACAUGACCUCUUCAGCGCACACACAACCUGAACAAGAAGUCCUGCCCUUUUGGAGUUCACUCUGAUGAAGGUAGAAGCAAUACCUCUUCUCACCCCUCAAACACCUACCUCAACACUCUAAGAGGAAUUGAUAUGAGCCUAAAAAGCACUGGCCCUUUUUGAGGCAGACAGUGGAACAUCUUGGGAUUUCCUACCCAGCGUGUGCAUUCCCACUGCAAAGCACUGAAAUUUUUAGGGCUGUCAAACUGUGCCACCUAUGUGAUCUAUGAGAUGGUUUUGGGGAGGGGGUGUGUGAUAAUUCUGCUGCUGUGGUUUGGUUAAAGAUGGUUUCCUGUGAGGCUAAGCCUUCAGCAUACAAGUUUCAAAAGAGAGGAGAAGAAAAAGAAAACCAAAAAAACCCAAAAAACUGACGAGCAAGCAAGUCGCAAGAUUGGACUCUCCAGGAAACCACAAAAUAAGCCCUGUGAAGACUGCAUGAAGUGCUAUUUCUGUGCCUUUAUCAUCUUUUAAGGAGACAAGAAUGGAGGAGGAACAGCUAGAGCAGAGAGCCGAGCAUGAAACCUGGGCUGAACACAUGCUGAGCGAACAUAGGCACAAAGGAAAGAACGACUGGGGAAUGCCAAACCCCACUGAAGCCAAUGGGAACUUCAGCAGCAGCUUCAUGGAGCCGGGGCCACAUACAAGGAUGAAAAUCCUUCUAGACAGGAACAAAGACAGACGCUGACUGUCAGCUCCAGAGCCAUGCUUUGGAAUGCCCCUGUUGAGAUGAGCAAGCAAUGCAUGAACGGUGUGCUGGAAUUACCAAGGUGGUUUGAGCGACUGCAGGGUUAGGCCACCACAACCAGACUGUGAUUGAGGGAUGCUGUAAUUUUAAGCAGGUCCUCUGCACAGCAGGAAAGACAAAUGGAGUGUGGAGAUUGUUAGUGGGAUACCAUUUGUGCAUUAGCUAUAUGAGCCAUCACCACAAGGGUUUGGAAACCAAAUGGUCAAGAGCAGAGAUAGGCCUCAACGCUGCAUGUAGCAGGGAUGUUCUUUAUCUGCUCCAGCUCAAAAGCUGCCAGUGAGAGACACAUACCUUGAAAAUGUAACAUGGGAGUAUGGCUCAUCUGUUUCAUUUAGUUUUAACACUUAAAACAGGCAACACUUCAAAAAAAGAUCAGCUAGAAGAGGGAAAGCAUUUAUAUGAGACUAAUGGCUCUUAAAUGACAUUGGGCAUUCCAAACCUUUGCCUCUGCUGUGCCUCAUAGUUCAAAUUCAUUAUCUAGCAGUGAAAAAACACACAAUACUGCAUUCAUUAGGCUGAACUUCUAGCUUUAUGAUACCUGUGCUUCUGGAAAUCACAGGCACCUAACAAUCUUCAAAUUAUGUUUGUUCUACUAAUCACUGGAGCAGAAUCCAGCCUUAAAAAUUGAGAGUUCAAAGACCAUCUGACCAAGGCAAAACAGUGCUGUGCGGGAAAUUAUGAGAAAGCUUUCCGCUCAUAAUUUUCUAAAUAUUAAACAAGAAAAGCUCACCUAAAUAAUGAAGUCAAAAUAUUAAGUCAGAAAGCCUUCUGUAGCAGGUGACAGAUGUAUGCUGUAAGAAAUGAAGCAUAGAGCAUUUUUCAGCAUAACUAAUACAUUUCUUAAACAUCUGUUUUGAACAUUAUAGUGUUUCAGUUGAGUGACUGCAGUUCCAAAUAGGCUCAUGUUUCACAUUUGAAUCACAUGAAGUUUUGUUUUAAACUUAUAUUCAUAACUGUAUUGAUGGUAGCAAGGUAAUCUCUGCUUUUUAAUAAAUCUUUUGCUCCAAGUGAAAAAAUAAAGCUAUAGGGGCGAGAGAAGGAAAAUCACCUUUUCUUCUCAUAACAGGAAAAUCCUCCUCAGGAAUAAUGAUUAGGCCAUAUGAACACACACAUCACUAACUUGAUACAUGAGCAACCUCUGUGUUUCACUAUGGCUACAAAAUUAUUUAGUCUGUGUUCAAAUGGGUCUCUGGCUGGAACACAAAGAGGAAUCCAUUGAUAAGAUAGGGAUGCUCCAUGCUCUGACACUGACUGAGUACUGCUUUCAGAUAGUCAUUUAACUCUAUUUACUCUCCUGCUGACCUUACAAAUGUCAUACAUGCCCUCAGCAUCAAUGUGUAUAUGAAAAUUGCAAUCUAAGAACAAAACAAUCUUAUCGGACCACUUCUUUUUUGGUGUUUGUUUACUAGCAUGAACUACACUGAAAGGUUAUUAGGGUUCCACAUACAAGCACUUUCCAAGUUAAGAAAUGACUCCUCAGCAAAGCAUCAGUUCAGCUCUUUCACACCCAUGCUAUGGCUGCAUUUUCACAACCAUAACCAAACCAGGGGAUUCUUGCUUCACUGGAAGUGCAAGUGGGCUUAGCUGAGGGCAAGACUGCUGCAGUGAAGGAGAGAUUGGUACAUCAGACAUUCUGCACACUGAGACAUGCCACAGAGAAAUAAGAAAUCCUAGGAAAAAUCCUUCCUCUUGGCUGGUACAUCCUAUCUUUUGUCUCCUGAAAUACAGAAGCUCUGUAUUUGCCUCAGCUGAGGAAGAGCUGAACCAAGGCUGGAGCACAGGUUUAUUGUGCCUGCAGCAGAGAAGCCA